UACGUAGGUGGCAAGCGUUGUCCGGAUUUACUGGGCGUAAAGAGCGCGCAGGCGGUCGUGCAAGUCGCGUGUGAAAGCCCCCGGCUCAACUGGGGAGGGUCACGCGAUACUGCUCGACUCGAAGGCAGGAGAGGGAAGUGGAAUUCCCGGUGUAGUGGUGGAAUGCGUAGAUAUCGGGAGGAACACCAGUGGCGAAGGCGGUUGCCUGGAGCUUUGCUGACGCUGAUGCGCGAAAGCGUGGGGAGCGAUCCGG
rnacentral:rRNA from 1 species